rnacentral:rRNA from 1 species
AUAUUGCGCAAUGGAGGGAACUCUGACGCAGCGACGCCGCGUGAGCGAUGAAGGUUUUCGGAUCGUAAAGCUCUGUCCUUGGGGAAGAAGGCUGCCCUUUAUGGUCACUUUACGGUACCCCAGGAGCAACCCCCGGCUAACUACGUGCCACCAGCCGCGGUAAUACGUAGGGGGCAAGCGUUGCCCGGAAUUAUUGGGCGUAAAGGGUGCGUAGGCGGCCUUUUAAGUCAGAUGUGAAAGACCACGGCUUAACCGUGGGGUUGCAUUUGAAACUGGAGGGCUUGAGUAUCGGAGAGGGUAGUGGAAUUCCCAGUGUAGCGGUGGAAUGCGUAGAUAUUGGGAGGAACACCAGUGGCGAAGGCGACUACCUGGACGAAAACUGACGCUGAGGCACGAAAGCGUGGGGAGCAAACA